rnacentral:rRNA from 1 species
UACGGAGGGUGCAAGCGUUGUCCGGAUUUAUUGGGUUUAAAGGGUGCGUAGGCGGCUUUUUAAGUCAGUGGUGAAAUACAGCAGCUCAACUGUUGAGGUGCCAUUGAUACUGAGAGGCUUGAGUACAGAUGAGGUAGGCGGAAUUUAUGGUGUAGCGGUGAAAUGCAUAGAUACCAUAAAGAACACCGAUUGCGAAGGCAGCUUACUAAGCUGUAACUGACGCUGAGGCACAAAAGCGUGGGGAGCGAACAGG